rnacentral:rRNA from 1 species
UACGUAGGGGGGCAAGCGUUGUCCGGAUUUAUUGGGCGUAAAGAGCGUGUAGGCGGCCGUACAGGUCAGCUGUGAAAACUCGAGGCUCAACCUCGAGACGUCGGUUGAAACCGUACGGCUAGAGUCCGGAAGAAGGAGAGUGGAAUUCCCGGUGUAGCGGUGAAAUGCGCAGAUAUCGGGAAGAACACCCGUGGCGAAGGCGGCUCUCUGGGACGGUACUGACGCUGAGACGCGAAAGCGUGGGGAGCGAACAGG